rnacentral:rRNA from 1 species
GGUAGCAUAAUCACUUGUCCCCUAAAUAGGGACUGGAAUGAAUGGCUUAAUGAGGACAAAACUGUCUCUUACGGACUAGCCAAUGAAAUUGAUCCUUCAGUACAAAAGCUGAAAUUAACCCAUAAGACGAGAAGACCCUGUGGAGCUUCAAAACCAAAACCACCAAACAUGCUUCCUGGUUUUUUAGUUGGGGCGACUUUGGAGCAAAAAAAACCCUCCAAAACAUAAAUCCAUUUAUUAAGACUAACACAUCAAAAAUAAUAUCAUARACCCAGCAGUACCUAUUUACUGCCUGACCAAUGAACCAAGUUACCCCAGGGAUAACAGCGCCAUCCUCUUCUAGAGUCCCUAUCGACAAGAGGGUUUACGACCUCGAUGUUGGAUCAGGGCACCCCUAUAGUGCAGCCGCUAUAAAAGGUUCGUUUGUUCAACGAUUAAAGUCCUACSUGA